rnacentral:rRNA from 1 species
CGUGCAAUCAUAGCGGACAAAGGGUCCGUGCAUAUCAAUAAGCGGAGCAAAAGGGUCCGUGCUUUUCAUUAAGCGGAGCAAACGGGUCCCUGCAUCGGAACUAAGUCCAUCGGAACGUGCCGCCCAGGUAGGGUGACAGCCCCGUCCGGCCACGCGCCGCGUCCGCAGUCUGCCCCCGACGAGUCGAGUUGUUUGGGAAUGCACCUCAAAGUGGGUGGUAAAUUCCAUCUAAAGCUAAAUAUUGGCGAGAGACCGAUAGCGAACAAGUACAGUGAUGGAAAGAUGAAAAGCACUUUGAAAAGAGAGUGAAACAGUACGUGAAAUUGUUGAAAGGGAAGGGCUUGCAAGCAGACACGGCUUUUGCCGGGCCAGCAUCGGUUUGGGGAGGCGGACAACCGCGGGAGCAUGUGGCGCACCUCGGUGCGUGUUAUAGCUCCCGUCCAUACGCCUUCCCCAGUCCGAGGCCUGCGUUCUAAACUAGGAUGCUGGCGUAAUGGUUGCAAGCC